GACGAACGCUGGCGGCGUGCUUAACACAUGCAAGUCGAACGGAAAGGCCCUGCUUUUGUGGGGUGCUCGAGUGGCGAACGGGUGAGUAACACGUGAGUAACCUGCCCUUGACUUUGGGAUAACUUCAGGAAACUGGGGCUAAUACCGGAUAGGAGCUCCUGCUGCAUGGUGGGGGUUGGAAAGUUCCGGCGGUUGGGGAUGGACUCGCGGCUUAUCAGCUUGUUGGUGGGGUAGUGGCUUACCAAGGCUUUGACGGGUAGCCGGCCUGAGAGGGUGACCGGCCACAUUGGGACUGAGAUACGGCCCAGACUCCUACGGGAGGCAGCAGUGGGGAAUAUUGCACAAUGGGCGGAAGCCUGAUGCAGCAACGCCGCGUGCGGGAUGACGGCCUUCGGGUUGUAAACCGCUUUCGCCUGUGACGAAGCGUGAGUGACGGUAAUGGGUAAAGAAGCACCGGCUAACUACGUGCCAGCAGCCGCGGUGAUACGUAGGGUGCGAGCGUUGUCCGGAUUUAUUGGGCGUAAAGGGCUCGUAGGUGGUUGAUCGCGUCGGAAGUGUAAUCUUGGGGCUUAACCCUGAGCGUGCUUUCGAUACGGGUUGACUUGAGGAAGGUAGGGGAGAAUGGAAUUCCUGGUGGAGCGGUGGAAUGCGCAGAUAUCAGGAGGAACACCAGUGGCGAAGGCGGUUCUCUGGGCCUUUCCUGACGCUGAGGAGCGAAAGCGUGGGGAGCGAACAGGCUUAGAUACCCUGGUAGUCCACGCUGUAAACGGUGGGUACUAGGUGUGGGGUCCAUUCCACGGGUUCCGUGCCGUAGCUAACGCUUUAAGUACCCCGCCUGGGGAGUACGGCCGCAAGGCUAAAACUCAAAGGAAUUGACGGGGCCCCGCACAAGCGGCGGAGCAUGCGGAUUAAUUCGAUGCAACGCGUAGAACCUUACCUGGGUUUGACAUGGAUCGGGAGUGCUCAGAGAUGGGUGUGCCUCCUUUGGGGUCGGUUCACAGGUGGUGCAUGGCUGUCGUCAGCUCGUGUCGUGAGAUGUUGGGUUAAGUCCCGCAACGAGCGCAACCCUUGUUCACUGUUGCCAGCACGUUAUGGUGGGGACUCAGUGGAGACCGCCGGGGUCAACUCGGAGGAAGGUGGGGAUGACGUCAAGUCAUCAUGCCCCUUAUGUCCAGGGCUUCACGCAUGCUACAAUGGCUGGUACAGAGAGUGGCGAGCCUGUGAGGGUGAGCGAAUCUCGGAAAGCCGGUCUCAGUUCGGAUUGGGGUCUGCAACUCGACCUCAUGAAGUCGGAGUCGCUGGUAAUCGCAGAUCAGCAACGCUGCGGUGAAUACGUUCCCGGG
rnacentral:rRNA from 1 species